rnacentral:rRNA from 1 species
CAGUCGCCGCGGUAAUACGGAGGGUGCAAGCGUUAAUCGGAAUUACUGGGCGUAAAGCGUGCGUAGGCGGUUCGUUAAGUCUGUUGUGAAAGCCCCGGGCUCAACCUGGGAAUGGCAAUGGAUACUGGCGAGCUAGAGUGUGUCAGAGGAUGGUGGAAUUCCCGGUGUAGCGGUGAAAUGCGUAGAGAUCGGGAGGAACAUCAGUGGCGAAGGCGGCCAUCUGGGACAACACUGACGCUGAGGCACGAAAGCGUGGGGAGCAAACAGGAUUAGAUACCCCAGUAGUCCCUGUCUCUUAUAC